GUCGGGAAUUUUGGGCAAUGGGCGAAAGCCUGACCCAGCAACGCCGCGUGAGGGAUGAAGUAUUUCGGUAUGUAAACCUCGAAAGAAUGGGAAGAAUAAAUGACGGUACCAUUUAUAAGCUCCGGCUAACUACGUGCCAGCAGCCGCGGUAAUACGUAGGGAGCAAGCGUUGUUCGGAUUUACUGGGCGUAAAGGGCGCGUAGGCGGCGCGGUAAGUCACUUGUGAAAUCUCUGAGCUUAACUCAGAACGGCCAAGUGAUACUGCUGUGCUAGAGUGCGGAAGAGGCAACCGGAAUUCUUGGUGUAGCGGUGAAGUGCGUAGAUAUCAAGAGGAACACCUGAGGCGAAGGCGGGUUGCUGGGCCGACACUGACGCUGAUGCGCGAAAGCCAGGGGAGCAAACG
rnacentral:rRNA from 1 species